rnacentral:rRNA from 1 species
GAUGAACGCUGGCGGCGUGCCUAACACAUGCAAGUCGAGCGAUUCUCUUUGGAGAAGAGCGGCGGACGGGUGAGUAACGCGUGGGUAACCUGCCCUGUACACACGGAUAACAUACCGAAAGGUAUGCUAAUACGAGAUAAUAUGCUUUUAUCGCAUGGUAGAAGUAUCAAAGCUCCGGCGGUACAGGAUGGACCCGCGUCUGAUUAGCUAGUUGGUAAGGUAACGGCUUACUAAGGCUACGAUCAGUAGCCGACCUGAGAGGGUGAUCGGCCACAUUGGAACUGAGACACGGUCCAAACUCCUACGGGAGGCAGCAGUGGGGAAUAUUGCACAAUGGGCGAAAGCCUGAUGCAGCAACACCGCGUGAGCGAUGAAGGCCUUCGGGUCGUAAAGCUCUGUCCUCAAGGAAGAUAAUGACGGUACUUGAGGAGGAAGCCCCGGCUAACUACGUGCCAGCCGCCGCAGUAACAC